rnacentral:rRNA from 1 species
CCAGCCGUAAACGAUGCUCGCUAGGUGUCAGGCAUGGCGCGACCGUGUCUGGUGCCGCAGGGAAGCCGUGAAGCGAGCCACCUGGGAAGUACGGCCGCAAGGCUGAAACUUAAAGGAAUUGGCGGGGGAGCACAACAACGGGUGGAGCCUGCGGUUUAAUUGGACUCAACGCCGGACAACUCACCGGGGGCGACAGCAAUAUGUAGGCCAAGCUGAAGACUUUGCCUGAAUCGCUGAGAGGAGG